rnacentral:lncRNA from 1 species
CAAAACAACAAUUCUUAUAUUAAUAUGCUCAACAUGAAAAUGCUUGCUAAUAACACCCUACUCAUUUCAUUGCAUCCUACGUUAAAAAGAAUCAUUUGCAUGACGAGUAAAAUGCAAUUAGAGAUAGUCAAGGAAUUCUGAAAUUAAGUUACAAUUAACCACAUGAUUAGUACCUUCUCUCUUCUAACAUCCCAAGUACCUAAUUAAUAAAGUAAAUUUCUUUUAACCCAAAAAAAAAAAAAAACAAAACCCAGCCUUCCACAUCUUCUGGGUCAUCAUCAACUUCUGCUCCUACAUAGUUAUAACAUUUUCUUCUUCAACAGGACUUCAAUGCAUUCCUAGUGGAAGAUGGUGUAGACGAGCAUAAGAAGCCAACGUUGCCAUUAUCGAAGUUGAGAGCAUAACUGAAGGGGUCAUAGUGGAAGCUGGACCUCUGCUUGGACCGAUUCUUCACUUGUCUCCUAAUCUCUGCCCUAACCUUCCAAAACAAGCUUCUGAACUUCCUCUUCGCGCACAGGAGCACCACAUUUGGAUCAAAGCAAACACCCAUAGUAAUUCUUGAAUCCUCUGAAAUCCCAGAAAAGAAAAAUGCAAGAAACAAGUGUUAUGGGUGAUGGGGUUAAUAUAGAAUGAAGGUGGGGGUAGGGUUUGCGUUGCAGAGAGAAGAGGCCAACCACAGCUAGCUUUAAAGCUGGACAAAGCUGAGAUGGCAGUGAAGUGAUGAGAAGGGAC